CCCCUCCCAAGGUCGCAUCUGAAGAGUUUCCAGUACUCUACCAGUCUUGACUACAGGAGGGAGAGUCAAGCAGAGGCCUACCCAUUCUAUUUCUAGCUUGGCCACUGGCUAGUGAGUGGAAGGCAAUCUGCUAUGAGU